UGGCAAGGAAUUUCUUCCCCUCAGAGACUAAGGAAAGCUGCUUUUGAAACCAGUGAAGAGUCAUUUCCUCCAAGCAGCAGGAAGAGAGUGUGAAAGAAAGAGAGGGAUUAUCUCCAUGCCAUGGGAGACGCUGGGAAUGCACAGGACAAACCUCCCUUGGCUCUAAACGGUAUUUCUCCUCAAGAAAAAGAAAUACGAUAACCUUACUUUCCCUAGAGCAAAGGCAUCUGAUGUGGAUGGACCACGUUUACAUCAAUAUACCCCACAGGAUAUUUGAAAGCUCUGAUUUCAUCUUUAAUUUCCCCGAACAAGAUUCUAGUUCCAUACCACCACCACCUCAAAAUACAGGAACACCCCAACUCCACUCUCUGUAGAAGACCCAUGACCAUGCAAUGCUGCCCUUUGAAUGUUGCCAGUAUCAGGAUGCAGUCUCACCUCCAUCAUGAAAUGUGUGCCCCUUGAAGUCAAGAUCAAGUCUUAAGUUGUCGGUGUUCUCCAAUUAUCAUUAACCCAGUAUGUUUUAAAACCAGCCUUAGAAGUAAUUAUAGCAGGGAACUGGUUUGGUGUCUUUCCAAUCAACAGGAAGAAAUAAUAAGAAAAGGAUUUCAAUCACAAGCUAUGAAAUCUGCUUCUUAAGCAAAAAUCCAGGAGGAAAAAAAAA